rnacentral:sRNA from 1 species
AUUCUCUCACCCCCAUCUCCUCCUCCGGCCCCCUCCCCUCUCCUCUCCUCCCCUCUGGCUCCCCUUCAGCGGGCGGCGGUGCCCGACAUGCGACGACAGGGGUGAUAGGUGGUCGGGCGGCGACGGCCUGUGCAGUGGGUGGCCACGGUGGUGGGAUGGGAGGCGGUGCACGGCGGGCGGCGACCGACGCGGCCCCGAAGACGACGGUGAACCGCCGGCCGAUCCCUUCCCUGCGGCGAAGGAGGCGACGAGCAUUUGGAUAUGUGAAUUUGCUGAUUUUAUUGAUUUAUCUAUGAAUUUGUUGAUUUGUGAUGUGUUUGGAUCUGUAAAUUUGUGAUGUGGUGUUGACGUGAAAAAACACCUAAUUUUAUCCUUAACAUGUGGAUAUGGAUAAUUUUGUGAUGUUUAUAUGAAUUUGUUGAUUUGUGGA